CCAGUUGAUAAAUGUUUAUUCCGCUGUAAAAAGGACGUAUAUUUAAAAUAAACAAAACAAAAACGAUUGCCGGGCAUUCCAAUUACAAAUCAAAACAUUGCUUCACUUUUUAUUACAUUAUAACACACUGUGUUUUAAACGAAAAUGGUUGUUGCUGGUUUGUGAGUACGGUUUUUUUUUCAAUAUUAUAUAUUGUUGCGAUAAAAUUUACCUCUGGCGGGAGUGCUCUUUUGACAGCUGCCAUAAUGAUCAGUCUGUUUUUGGGAGGGAAAUACAUGCUUGAUAUGGAUCGACGGAACAAUGCUGUGCCUGUGGGAAACCUCACGGGAUUAGGUGACGAGAAAAUCUUGAAACUAAUGUCGGGAAAGGUGAUAUAAUUCACUAGUGUUCCAAACAGCAGCUGUCUAAUAUUAACUAAGAUUUAGAUAGCAAUAAAAUGUAAAUUAAAGGAAAAUAUAUACAACAACUAAUGUUUAACAACACUAGAAAAUUCAAGAAAUACUUCGCAGAAUAAUUAAUUGCACUGAGAAUAUGUUAGUUUUUAACACGAAUUUAGUACUCAUGUAUCCCAAUGUUUGUUACUAAUAAAUACAUAUAGGUAAUUUUGAGUUUUUAAUUUUAAAAUUUUGU